GCAUCACUACACGUGGUGGAUGCAGCAUUAGUGGACUGCUCUGUGGCCCUGGCAAAACCCUUCGACAAGUUCCAGUUUGAGCGUCUUGGAUAUUUCUCCGUGGAUCCAGACAGCCAUCAGGGAAAGAGACGGGGUCUUACUCUUGCCCAGGGUGGUGUGAAGUGGUGCAAUCAUAGCUCACUGUGGCCUCAAACUACUGGGCUCAAGCUAUUCUCCUGCCUUAGCUGAGACUACAUGUGCACACUACCAUGCCUGGCUAAUUUUAAAACUUUUUGUAGAGGCAAGUUCUCACUAUGUUGCCCAGCUUGUCUUUAACCGAACUGUCACACUGAAGGAAGACCCAGGAAAGGUGUGAGCUGGAAGCACUGAACCUACCUCAUCCUCCUGGAGGGUGUGGCUACCCUCGCCACCCCAAAUUCCAUGUCAAUAAAGAACAGCUAAAUUCUCCUAG
rnacentral:lncRNA from 1 species